AAGUCGUAACAAGGUAGCCGUACCGGAAGGUGCGGCUGGACACCUCCUUUCUAAGGAGCACCAUUUCCCAGUCGAAUGAACUAGGGAACAUAAAGUAGGCAUCUGUAGUGGAUAUCUACUUGGUGAAUAUGUUUUGUAAAUCCUGUCCACCCCGUGGAUGGGUAGUCGGCAAAACGUCGGACUGCAUAAGAAGUGAAACGCUGGCACACUGUUGGGUCCUGAGGCAACACGUUGUGUUGUCACCCUGCUUGGUGGUGGGGUGUGGACUUUGACUUCUGAAUAGUGGUUGCGAGCAUCUAAACAUAGCCUCGCUCGUUUUCGAGUGGG
rnacentral:misc_RNA from 1 species